GGAUAGCCAUUUUCCAGGAGGCCGUGCACAAGCAGACCAGUGUGGCCCCCCGGCACCAGGAGUACCUCUUUGAGGGUCACCUCUGUGUCCUCGAGCCCAGCGUCUCAGCACAGCACAUCGCCCACACGACGGCAAGCAGCCCCCUGACCCUCUUCAGCACAGCCAUCCCUAAGGGGCUGGCCUUCAGGGACCCUGCUCUGGACGUCCCCAAGUAAGUCCCCAAAGUGGACCUGCA
rnacentral:lncRNA from 1 species